GGUAAAUUAGGAAGUAGAAUGUGUGGCAUGUUGUGGCCUAGCAGCAGCUGGUAAGCAACCUGUUUGUCCACACUGCUCAGGUGACUGCCGGCCAAGAUGGGGCCGCAAGUAGACAAUGAAGCCUUGCGGCACACCACACCAAAACUGCAAAAAGGUUGAACAGGUUAUGAGCCCCUGAGGGAAGUCUGAGGCCGGUGCAACCGCUGAAGCUUCGGGGGAGACGACCACAAACGACUAGUGCUUGCUAGGCCUCAACGCAAGCGAGAAAAUGUCACCUUGUAAUCUAUUCCUUUUGCACAUCUACCCUUAUAUGUUUCAAUCUCAUCCACCCCCCCCCCAAAAAAAAAAACCCCACACACUGCAUUGAAUCAGCGAUAGGUGAUCCGCGAAUUAGAGAGGGAUUACUCUACCAGGCAGCACUGGGCACUCAUGGAAGAGAUGCAGGAUAAUCAACAGCAAGAUUUAUAGUAUAUUUUAGACCAGUUUAUUCAUACUUUAUUCAGUGAUUUUUAACUGCUUACUCUAUUAAAGCACUACAGAACUGAGAGGAAUUCUAUUUCAAGCAAGUUGCACGUCAUGUAUGUAUAGCACAUCUUAGAAUAAAGUUACUUGAAUUUAAUUUUUCUGUGGCAUUUUUAACUACCUUGUCACAUGGUGACUAUGUGACAAGUUAUGAGGUCAUUUGCUGCUCAAUGUGGUUUGUUGUUCUAGGGGUAUGCUGAUUAUCACUUGGGGGGUAAGCUGUUUAACUUCUCGGAACGGCCGUGCUGGCACUCGGUGGCAUAUGGACAUCACGAAAGUAUUGCGGAAAAAAAGAAGGCAUUAUUUUGCGUAUUUUGGCACCAGUGCUAUUUGUCUACAGGAGGCGUUAAGAAAAGAGAAAGACAACAUGUAGAUAAAUAUAAUAG